GGGCCCGCACAAGCGGUGGAGCAUGUGGUUUAAUUCGAUGAUACGCGAGGAACCUUACCAGGGCUUAAAUGUAAGUUGCAUUAGAUAGAGAUAUCUAUUUCUUCGGACCACUUACAAGGUGCUGCAUGGUUGUCGUCAGCUCGUGCCGUGAGGUGUCAGGUUAAGUCCUAUAACGAGCGCAACCCCUGUUGUUAGUUGCCAGCGAUUCAAGUCGGGAACUCUAACAAGACUGCCGGUGCAAACCGUGAGGAAGGUGGGGAUGACGUCAAAUCAUCACGGCCCUUACGUCCUGGCUACACACGUGCUACAAUGGUAGGGACAGAGAGCAGCCACUACGCGAGUAGGAGCG
rnacentral:rRNA from 1 species